UAAAGCAAAUGGUGAAAUCUGGGGGCUCAACCUCACAGACUAUUAUUUGAACUCACCGACUCGAGAACAGCAGAGGUAACUGGAAUUUCUGAAGUAGGGGUAAUAUCCGUAGAUAUCAGAAGGAACACCAAUGGCGUAGGCAGGUUACUGGGCUGUUUCUGACACUGAGGCACGAAAGCGUGGGGAGCGAACCGGAUUAGAUACCCGGGUAGUCCACGCCGUAAACGAUGGAUACUA
rnacentral:rRNA from 1 species